rnacentral:rRNA from 1 species
UACGUAGGCAGCAAGCGUUGUUCGGAGUUAUUGGGCGUAAAGAGCGUGUAGGCGGCCAGGUAGGUCCGUUGUGAAAACUCGAGGCUCAACCUCGAGACGUCGGCGGAAACCCUCUGGCUAGAGUCCGGAAGAGGAGAGUGGAAUUCCUGGUGUAGCGGUGAAAUGCGCAGAUAUCAGGAAGAACACCCGUGGCGAAGGCGGCUCUCUGGGACGGUACUGACGCUGAGACGCGAAAGCGUGGGGAGCAAACAGG